rnacentral:rRNA from 1 species
UACGUAGGGGGCAAGCGUUAUCCGGAUUUACUGGGUGUAAAGGGAGCGUAGACGGCAGUGCAAGUCUGAAGUGAAAGGCAAGGGCUCAACCCUUGGACUGCUUUGGAAACUGUGCUGCUGGAGUGUCGGAGAGGCAAGUGGAAUUCCUAGUGUAGCGGUGAAAUGCGUAGAUAUCAGGAGGAACACCAGUGGCGAAGGCGGCUUGCUGGACGAUGACUGACGUUGAGGCUCGAAAGCGUGGGGAGCAAACAGG